UUUGAUUAUGGCUCAGGACGAACGCUGGCGGCGCGCCUAACACAUGCAAGUCGAACGAGCAAAGAGGAGCUUGCUUCUCUGAGCGAGUGGCGAACGGGUGAGUAACGCGUGAGGAACCUGCCUCAAAGAGGGGGACAACAGUUGGAAACGACUGCUAAUACCGCAUAAGCCCACGGGUCGGCAUCGACCAGAGGGAAAAGGAGCAAUCCGCUUUGAGAUGGCCUCGCGUCCGAUUAGCUAGUUGGUGAGGUAAUGGCCCACCAAGGCGACGAUCGGUAGCCGGACUGAGAGGUUGAACGGCCACAUUGGGACUGAGACACGGCCCAGACUCCUACGGGAGGCAGCAGUGGGGGAUAUUGCACAAUGGGGGAAACCCUGAUGCAGCGACGCCGCGUGGAGGAAGAAGGUCUUCGGAUUGUAAACUCCUGUUGUUGAGGAAGGUAAUGACGGUACUCAACAAGGAAGUGACGGCUAACUACGUGCCAGCAGCCGCGGUAAAACGUAGGUCACAAGCGUUGUCCGGAAUUACUGGGUGUAAAGGGAGCGCAGGCGGGAAGACAAGUUGGAAGUGAAAUCCAUGGGCUCAACCCAUGAACUGCUUUCAAAACUGUUUUUCUUGAGUAGUGCAGAGGUAGGCGGAAUUCCCGGUGUAGCGGUGGAAUGCGUAGAUAUCGGGAGGAACACCAGUGGCGAAGGCGGCCUACUGGGCACCAACUGACGCUGAGGCUCGAAAGUGUGGGUAGCAAACAGGAUUAGAUACCCUGGUAGUCCACACCGUAAACGAUGAUUACUAGGUGUUGGAGGAUUGACCCCUUCAGUGCCGCAGUUAACACAAUAAGUAAUCCACCUGGGGAGUACGACCGCAAGGUUGCAACUCAAAUGAAUUGACGG
rnacentral:rRNA from 1 species